rnacentral:lncRNA from 1 species
AUGUUUCCCUCUCAGUCACUAGCUGCUAGAAACGCACUGAAAUGGACAGUGAACACAAACAUCAUACCUUUUAUGAGAAGCGUAUGGCCAUAGAAGUUGCUGUUAAUGCUGACUGCAGAGUGAAAAGCUUAUGUCAUCUGAAUCAGUGAUGGGAACUGCAAACAAAGUUUCCCCAUGAAGCAGAAUGUCUUGACCCAUGGCUGUGUUUGCUGCUACUAAGUAAGGAGUGUUCCUAUCACAUGGCAAGGUGAACUGGAGAAAGUACAAAUAUAUUUGAGGUUGCAUUGUGGAUGUCAAUUUGAGUGCUCUUAAUUUGGUUAUUGUGAAAAAAAAAAAAAAAGUCGGGAGAGAGAAGGAUAUUCUUGGACUGACUGAUAAUACUAUGCCUCAUCACCUAGGGCCCAAAAGAGCUAGCAGAAUCUGAUAAGUUUUCAAAUAUCUGUAAAAAGAUGAUACCUACCAUAGGUUGUGAGAAAGUCCCUAAACAAAGAAGGUAAGGAACUCAGGACCAGACUGCCCAGGAUUCAGCAUCCUGUUAUUCCAUGUGUCCUGCAUCACAAAACAUCCACAUAUUGCUCUGAAGACACAGCUUGCUAAGAAAAAUAAGUAAGAGGCUGCAGAAUAUGCUAAACUUUUGACCAAGAGAAUGGGAAACCAAAGAGAAAUGCCAGGAACAGGUCCCUGAGAAGCAGAGGCUGUUCUCUCUGAGAGCUUCUACCCUGACCUUGAAUCCAGUAAAAAAUAA